UACGUAGGGGGCAAGCGUUGUCCGGAAUUAUUGGGCGUAAAGAGCGUGUAGGCGGUCCGGUAAGUCAGCUGUGAAAGUCAAGGGCUCAACCCUUGAAUGCCGGUUGAUACUGUCGGGCUAGAGUCCGGAAGAGGCGAGUGGAAUUCCUGGUGUAGCGGUGAAAUGCGCAGAUAUCAGGAGGAACACCGGUGGCGAAGGCGGGUCUCUGGGCCGAUAUUGACGCUGAGGAGCGAAAGCGUGGGGAGCGAACAGG
rnacentral:rRNA from 1 species